rfam:Octopus bimaculoides Scaffold97616_contig_73, whole genome shotgun sequence.
UUGUUAACCGGCAGUACAUAUUCAAAAAUUGGAAUGAUACAUAGAAGAUUAGCAUGGCCCCUGCGCAAGGAUGACACACAAUUUCAUAAAGCAUUCCAUAUUUUU